GGAGAGGUCGCCUAGUCUGGUUUAUGGCGCGCGCUUGGAAAGCGCGUUACCCUUUACCGGGUACGAGAGUUCAAAUCUCUCCCUCUCCG
rnacentral:tRNA from 1 species